rnacentral:rRNA from 1 species
AAGCAGGGGAUCGUAAGGCUUUGCGCUUUUGGAGCGGCCGAUGUCUGAUUAGCUAGUUGGUGGGGUAAAGGCCUACCAAGGCGACGAUCAGUAGUUGGUCUGGGAGGACGACCAGCCACACUGGGACUGAGACACGGCCCAGACUCCUACGGGAGGCAGCAGUGGGGAAUUUUGGACAAUGGGCGCAAGCCUGAUCCAGCAAUGCCGCGUGAGUGAAGAAGGCCUUCGGGUUGUAAAGCUCUUUCAGUCGAGAAGAAAAGGUUGUGAUGAAUAAUCACAACUCAUGACGGUAUCGACAGAAGAAGCACCGGCUAACUACGUGCCAGCAGCCGCGGUAAUACGUAGGGUGCGAGCGUUAAUCGGAAUUACUGGGCGUAAAGGGUGCGCAGGCGGCUUUGUAAGUCAGAUGUGAAAUCCCCGGGCUUAACCUGGGAAUUGCGUUUGAAACUACAAAGCUAGA